rnacentral:lncRNA from 1 species
AGCCCUCGUGCGGCCAGCCCAGUCCAGAGCGAGGAAGUGGAAGAGAGUCAGCGAGCUCGAUGCUCCGCCGCUCGCGGCUGGGGGGUCCGGGGCCGCGUCUCCUCUCCUCCCUCCGCCUCUCCUCUUUCCUCCUUCCUGCUGCCUCUUCUUUUAAAGCGGAUUCUUUGGCCACAAAUAGCAACUCGGCUGCCCCCCUCGGUGCCUCCCUCCCCUUCUCUUCUUCCCCCCAAAAGUGAAGCGCACGCGAGGAGCUGAAAAGCUGUGCAGGGAUGAUGGACCCUUGCCCCCUGUGACCUAAGGAUGGAUCCAGAAAUCUCAGCCUCCCCAUAGGUGAUUCCACCCAAGAUGUAAACUCCUACUUGGCUUUGUCAUUGCCACAUGUGCCCCCAUAAACUGGCAAUCCCACUUUCCUCAUCCAAAGUUGCAUGUUAGAGAAACAGAAAGUUUUAAAACCCCUAAUAUUCCUUUGCUGUUACUUUUGUGGGAAAUGUAUCACUCUGCCUGCAGAUCUGACCUCAUUUAAGAAGAACCCAGCUGGUAAAUCUGACUGCUAUCUGGGAACAUAGUUGAGGAUAUAUCAUCUUACACCACUGGUAGUGAUUUAAACUAGCAAGUAGAAAAGGGACCCAGAAAUCAGGGGAUACAGAGGACAGUACAAGUAAAUGGCAUAAGCCCAACUUUUCUGACACUGUGAAGUCCUAGAUGUUCUUGUCUCUACUACAACCAAACAUCAAACAUCUUAGAGAAAGAAGUAGGGAUGGGUCAAGGUGACUGGAGAGUCUGAGUUAUUAUUAUACCAAUGAGACUGAGAAUUAUUCAGGGUGAUGCUGCUGAAAAACGGGAGAUACAGCAAAUAGAGAAGCCAAAGUUUCUCUGCACAUCUGAGUAGUAAUGGAAGUGAGACUGCAGCCUGCUACACUCAUGUUAAUAUAUUCAGAGCAGAUUGGCAACAAAAGAGUGUCCUAAUGCUGCAGCAUCUAGUAAACUUCUGGACUGGUUUACCAUUUGGAAAUUUUAAGUCAAAGAACAUCAGAAGCAGGCUAAUCUUUUGUUGAAAUUACCUCGUUUUUACAGGUAAAGAAACGAAGACCCUGAGAAUUUAAAAUCAUCCAACUAUUUGGUGCCAGAAGCAGGACAAGAACUCAGACAUCAUGAUCCAGUGCCCUCCAUCCCACCAGCUAUUCAUCAUCACCUCCACAUUCUGGAUCAAAGAAGCCAGUUUUCCAACUUAUCAAUGAGCAAUACAUAUAGAAUAUUUUUAAAACUCCAAAUACUUUUAUGAAGGAAAAAUGAAGCAAUAGGACAAGACAUUUUCUUCGUUUCCUUCCAGCUCUAACAUUCUGUGAUAAAUAGCACACAGGAGCUUUGCUAUAGCACUACCCCCUCUAGUGCAUAAUUCAGCAUACGAUGAGUAUGAGUCUGUUUUGGACCCCAUCCAAAGGAGUUAGUUCCUAGAAGUACUUGGAAGAUUUAUUCUCAUUUAUCAUGAGGCAUCCUAACAGGAGACUAAAAAUAAUCACGAUGACAAUAAUAGUAAUCAGUUGUUACACUUGUAUUAUGUACUAAGCAUCGUGCUAAGCAUGUUAAAGUUCACCUGUUUUUGAAAAGGCACUUCAUGACCUUAUGUGGGUUGCGAAUCUAGUGGGUCAUAAACAAUUUCUGAAAUGAAAGAAAAGUAGGAAAAAACACAGAGUGCAUUAUACAUACUAAGUUGUUUUAUUUUUUAUUUUUUUAUUUUUUUUGCAAAACUUCCUUUUUGAUCAUGUGGCUAGUGAUUAAAAGUUUGGAAGCACUGCCUCGUUUCCAAUCUUAACUGCCUUGCUAGUUAAGUAUUAUUAGCCCCAUUAUAUAAGUGAGGAAACAGGACGAGAGAGGAUAAGUAAUUUGGCCAAGCUGACACAGUGAGUGGCCAAGCUAGAAUUUUGAACCUAGAUCUGUUUGACUUCAAAUCCAAUAUUUUCACUUCUAUAGUGAUGAUAAAUUAUUGACCAAGGUAUGGAAUAAAUUGUUGCUAAUCAUGUUUUCUUUGUGAGGACUACUGGGGUUUUUAUUAAAUCCAGCUAAAUGGAGAAACACAGCAUAGAUUCAAGUGACAUGUUCGGAAGAGAGUGAGGAAUUUCAUAAAACACUAAAUCUAAUAUCUAAGACCUUUUCCUGUAGGUGUUAGCUUAUGUCUAAUACACUUUAUUGACUUACUGCUAAAUACAUAAAUGAAACAAUAAUAGUUUCAGUCCUCAAAUAACAAUAUUCACUUCUACGUGUGUUUCUAUUUUUAUUUCAGAGAGUAUUUUUCAAAUUUAAGUUAUACAGCAUUUCUCAGUAGCUUGCUUUGGCCAAACACAGAACUAGCACAUAAGAAAGCUAAAAGGCCAGGCACUGUGGCUCACACCUGUAAUCCCAGCACUUUUGGAGGCCAAGGCAGGCAGAUCACUUGAGGUCAGGAGUUUGAAAUCAGCCUGGCCAACAUGGUGAAACCCGUCUCUACUAAAAAUACAAAAAUUAUCUGGGCGUGGUGGCACGUGUCUGUAAUCCCAGCUACUCGGGAGGCU